AGGCAACCCAGCUCUUCUAAUUUAAAAGUUGCUGCAUUUGUGAUGAUUUUCAUCUUGACUGGGGAUGCUCCCCAUUCUGAACACCAGCAUCAUGCAUCCUUUGCUCUGUUCUAGGCACAACAAUCAAAAGUGCUUAUUCCCAAACUGGACCUGACUUCAGCCAGAAUAUGUCACCGUGAGAUUCCCUAUGCAGAGGCCCAUGUGGCAACAAACUGAUGUGUCCUUCCAACAACCAGGCCUGAGACCUCACAAGACCCAACUGGCAUGCAUUUGUAUGUGAGUGCCAGUGCGGGUCAUCACAGCUUGCAUCCAUUUCAAGUCUUCAUCUAACAUACAGAAGAAAAAACACUGAUUUUGACAACCACCCAUAGAUGACAGUACGUUUUGGGAGGCCAGGAGUCCAGUGGUAAGGUCCCAGCAUACCACUGGAGCAAAACAUCUGAGAAUACACACGUUAAAGAAGUUCGGUUUCAUUCUUCCAGAAACUCCUGAAGUCAAUUUGGAAAAAAGAACAUGUGAUUUGGCAAUUGAGUGCUUAAAAUAUAUUUACCAGUGUGGAGCACCAUUGUACCAUCCUACGAAAAUUAUUAGGAGAGUCACCACUGUGGAGGAACUCAAGAUGUGAAGGACUUUUUCAGAAAGCUGGAGAUGAAAGAACAACGAAACUUUACAAUGUCUAUGGUCCGUGCAGAGAUCAAGGUCUGUCAGAGACAUCUUUCCCUGUGGUUCCCUCAACUCCACAAGCCUUUGGGUCUUCAGAUUGAGAGGAGCAGAACAUGAGGUACUGAACUCAAGAGGUCUCACGUGCACUUGGACCUGAUUUACAUGACAAGGUUCUGGCCUGAUUCAGUAACAUGAUACAAUCUUAUGUGGGGUAUUGGGAGGUUGAGUAUGUAUUUUUCAUGGGGAAGAAUGUAAAUAAUCCAUGGAAUAAAAAAUAUGACUUUUAAAAUGUGGCCUCAGAAUCCUUUGCACUCCUCUCAUUAAGAAGUAAGGUCUAUGAGUUUCCCUUUGAAUUUGAGUGGGCUUUUGACUUCUUCAUUCAAUACUGCAAGUUUCAAGUGAUGUUAUGUGACUUCUAAAUCUAGAUUAUAAAAGGUCUUGCAGAUUUUGCAUAAUUUUUUUAAAUUACACAAAAAUCAUUUUUGCAUAAUUCUCCUUCCUGGAGCUUUCAUUCUUGUACAUUCCCUCCCAGAAUCUAGCCACCAUGCUGCGAGAAUUCCAAGCCUCACAGAGAGGGCCCGUGUAGGUUCAAAGUACUAGAGUCCCAGUUGAGACUGUCCUUGAGCCACCACACCCCGAAAAGCAGACUGUGGGUAGAGUUAAUAUUGGAAAUGUUUUCUCCAGUCUUAGUUGUCCCAGCCCCCGGCUUCUAGAGGUAUCUCCAGCUGUUUAAGAGAUCUCAACUGAGGUAGCAGAUAUGGUAAAGUUCUAAAAUGCCACUCCUAUUCUGUACACC
rnacentral:lncRNA from 1 species